UGAAUACGAGGCACUAAGGUGCUGAAGUAGUGUAUGUCAUACUUCCAAGAAAAGCUUGCACUAUCGUAAGAUAAAAAUGCCUGUACCAUAACCGACACAGGUGGGUAGGUAGAGUAUACUAAGGGGCGCGAGAUAACUCUCUCUAAGGAACUCGGCAAAAUAACUCCGUAACUUCGGGAGAAGGAGUGCCUUAUUCUAUAAGGUUGCAAUAACAAGAUCCAAGCAACUGUUUAUCAAAAACACAGGUCUCCGCUAAGUCGUAAGACGAUGUAUGGGGGCUGACGCCUGCCCAGUGCCAGAAGGUUAAAGAAGUCGGUUAGCAAUUGCGAAGCUGGUAACUGAAGCCCUGGUGAACGGCGGCCGUAACUAUAACGGUCCUAAGGUAGCGAAAUUCCUUGUCGGGUAAGUUCCGACCCGCACGAAAGGCGUAAUGAUUUGGAUACUGUCUCGGAGAGGGACUCGGUGAAAUAGACUUGUCUGUGAAGAUGCGGACUACCUGCACCAGGACAGAAAGACCCUAUGAAGCUUUACUGUAACUUGAAAUUGAAAUUGGACUUUAUUCGCGCAGUAUAGGUGGGAGGCGUUGAUUAUAAUCUUGUGGGAUUAUUGGAGCCAUUAGUGAGAUACCACUCUUGUAAUGUUAGAUUUCUAACUUUGAAUCAUGAUCUGGUCAAAGAACAGUUUCAGGCGGGCAGUUUGACUGGGGCGGUCGCCUCCUAAAUGGUAACGGAGGCGUACAAAGGUUUCCUCUGAACGGGUAGAAAUCGUAUCUAGAGUGUAAAGGCAUAAGGAAGCUUGACUGUGAGACCUACAAGUCGAGCAGGGACGAAAGUCGGUCUUAGUGAUCUGACGGUACUGAGUGGAAAGGCCGUCACUCAACGGAUAAAAGUUACUCUAGGAUAACAGGCUGAUCUCCCCCAAGAGUUCACAUCGACGGGGAGGUUUGGCACCUCGAUGUCGGCUCAUCGCAUCCUGGGGCGGUAGUACGUCCCAAGGGUUGGGCUGUUCGCCCAUGAAAGCGGUACGCGAGCUGGGUUCAGAACGUCGUGAGACAGUUCGGUCCAUAUCCGGUGUAGGCGUUAGAAUAUUGAGAGGAGCCUUCUUUAGUACGAGAGGACCGAGAAGGACAUACCUCUGGUGUACCAGUUAUCGUGCCAACGGUAAACGCUGGGUAGCUAUGUAUGGAGUGGAUAACCGCUGAAAGCAUCUAAGUGGGAAGCCCACCUCAAGAUAAGUAUUCUCAUC
rnacentral:rRNA from 1 species